GUCAUUGUAGCAAUACAAGGCAGACGGCUCAGUAACGCGUAGUCAACCUAACCUAUGGACGGGAAUAACCUCGGGAAACUGAGAAUAAUGCCCGAUAGAACACUAUACCUGGAAUGGUUUGUGUUCCAAAUGAUUUAUCGCCGUAGGAUGGGACUGCGGCCUAUCAGUUUGUUGGUGAGGUAAUGGCCCACCAAGACUAUUACAGGUACGGGCUCUGAGAGGAGUAGCCCGGAGAUGGGUACUGAGACACGGACCCAGGCCCUAUGGGGCGCAGCAGGCGAGAAAACUUUGCAAUGUGCGAAAGCACGACAAGGUUAAUCCGAGUGAUUUGUGCUAAACGAAUCUUUUGUUAGUCCUAGAACCACUAACGAAUAAGGGGUGGGCAAGUUCUGGUGUCAGCCGCCGCGGUAAAACCAGCACCUCAAGUGGUCAGGAUGAUUAUUGGGCCUAAAGCAUCCGUAGCCGGGUCUGUAAGUUUUCGGUUAAAUCUGUACGCUUAACGUACAGGCUGCCGGGAAUACUGCAGAGCUAGGGAGUGGGAGAGGUAGACGGUACUCGGUAGGAAGGGGUAAAAUCCUUUGAUCUAUUGAUGACCACCUGUGGCGAAGGCGGUCUACCAGAACACGUCCGACGGUGAGGGAUGAAAGCUGGGGGAGCAAACCGGAUUAGAUACCCGGGUAGUCCCAGCUGUAAACUAUGCAAACUCAUUGAUGCAUUGAC
rnacentral:rRNA from 1 species